rnacentral:lncRNA from 1 species
GUCAAUUGUAUUUCUUCUUCAUCAUUAUUUAUUUCAUCAAAAUGCUUCUACCUUUUACCUUGAUGUUUUGUAGGAAAUUUUGGCUGUAUAUCCAUAUCAGAUGCAAAUGGCUUUUGCAACUUCAAUACUAGAGUCAAAACCUUCGUUUCUCUACUUUUGAAAAUAUGAGAUGGCCCCUUCAAUUUGUUUCAGAGUUGCAUCCAUGCACACAAUCUUAUAUUGUAACUUUGUGCUCACCAUGUUUGUAUAAAAUAAAAUAUCAUGCCAAAUAACCAUACCAACUAGAAAUUCAAAAUUCUCAAGUGUGCUAACCAAAGAUUGAGCAUCACUUACUGUUGUUGCAUCAUCAGUACAAAUCUCCUCC